UACGUAGGGCGCAAGCGUUGUCCGGAAUUAUUGGGCGUAAAGAGCUCGUAGGCGGUUUGUCGCGUCGGAUGUGAAAGCCCGGGGCUUAACCCCGGGUCUGCAUUCGAUACGGGCAGACUGGAGUGUGGUAGGGGAGAUCGGAAUUCCUGGUGUAGCGGUGAAAUGCGUAGAUAUCAGGAGGAAUACCGGUGGCGAAAGCGACUCUCUGGACGGCAACUGACGCUGAGGCACGAAAGCGUGGGGAGCAAACAGG
rnacentral:rRNA from 1 species